rnacentral:lncRNA from 1 species
CCUGGGGCCUCCGGGCACUCGAGGGGGUCGAGGCCCAGGAGAAGCGGUGUGAACUGAGGUAGAUCUUGUCCAGUGACCCUUUUCAGAAUCUCAAGAAGCUCGGGUUUGUGCCAAACCCCGAUGCUUGGGGCUGGAGCUCUGGAAGGUUGUGGGGCAGGCGUGCCUCUGGGGAGGUGAGGGAUACCCCCACCCCUAAAUGGCGGGCAGGGAGCAUUGGGAUUGUUGCAAGACUGACUCUGGGCGACAGCAUGCAAAACAACGACCUGGCCCCUCUUUGGGACAUUCGUCCCUCCUGUGCUUCCUGGGUGGGGACAGCGGCCCAAGCCAGGCCUCACUCGUGGCGCGUCCUCCAGGAGGCUGGCCGCAGGAUGUGGAGCAGCGCCUGUGUGCGUGAGGAGACCUGCUGUGUCCUCAGCGCGGAGCCCGCUGCCCUGGGCGGGUCGGAGGAAAGAAUGUCCUCGUCUGCCUUCACAGCGCCAUGCAUUUCUAGUAGGGGGCGGUCAGAGCAGGCUGUGGACACGGGGUUCUGAACACCUGUAGUUUCUGCCUGCUGGUCUUCUCCUGGGGCCUCCGGGCACUCGAGGGGGUCGAGGCCCAGGAGAAGCGGUGUGAACUGAGGUAGAUCUUGUCCAGUGACCCUUUUCAGAAUCUCAAGAAGCCGGUGCCAAAGGUCACCUUCUCUUCCUGCCUUCCCCGCUCCUUCCCCCUCUUAGCUUGUGAAGUAGUCAUGGGGGUGGGGGGCCAUUUAGACAGCUGGAGCCUGGAGUGGGGAGAGGAACUGUUUUUGUUAGUAUUUUUUGUUUGAGAGGAGCUUGUAGAAGAAAAAUGCAUGUUUCUCUGAUUGGGACUCAGUGGGGAGCGGGGACAGGAUUCAGAGGCCCUACAGUCAGGUGUGUGGGUUUCACAUCAAGCUGUUCAAACCCUCCCUUCCCAUCACUGGCCAUCUUCCCAAGAGGAUGUCUGUCUGUCUGUACGUGCCUGUGCAGGGCGUGUGUUACUCUCCCUCUUUCCUGCUGCCUUGUUGUCGUGUGUUACUCUCCCUCUUUCCUGCUGCCUUGUUGUCGUGUGUGUCUGUGUGCGUGUUUAGACGGAGGGGCCUGCUGUCCUCCUGCGAACAGCUCUUACAUCCACCUUCUGGCUCCUCCUCUGGUGUUUGGAGCGGACCCUGAAUUUCGACUCUUGACGGCUGAUCUGAAUGCUUGCCCUGGCCUCUGA